rnacentral:sRNA from 1 species
UUUUAGCCCUGAUAGCAGUGGAAAUCCUUUUGUUUUUUUCUUUAAAAAAUAAAAGAUUGCAACGGAUAGCAGGAAUAGCU